rnacentral:tRNA from 1 species
GGCGGCGUAGCUCAGUCGGUAGAGCGCCGGUUUCAUAAGCCGUAGGUCGGCAGUUCAAUCCUGCCCGCCGUCACCA